AGCGAAAGUGACGGUACCUGCAGAAGAAGCGCCGGCUAACUACGUGCCAGCAGCCGCGGUAAUACGUAGGGCGCAAGCGUUGUCCGGAAUUAUUGGGCGUAAAGAGCUCGUAGGCGGCUUGUCGCGUCGGUUGUGAAAGCCCGGGGCUUAACCCCGGGUCUGCAGUCGAUACGGGCAGGCUAGAGUUCGGUAGGGGAGAUCGGAAUUCCUGGUGUAGCGGUGAAAUGCGCAGAUAUCAGGAGGAACACCGGUGGCGAAGGCGGAUCUCUGGGCCGAUACUGACGCUGAGGAGCGAAAGCGUGGGGAGCGAACAGGAUUAGAUACCCUGGUAGUCCACGCCGUAAACGGUGGGCACUAGGUGUGGGCAACAUUCCACGUUGUCCGUGCCGCAGCUAACGCAUUAAGUGCCCCGCCUGGGGAGUACGGCCGCAAGGCUAAAACUCAAAGGAAUUGACGGGGGCCCGCACAAGCGGCGGAGCAUGUGGCUUAAUUCGACGCAACGCGAAGAACCUUACCAAGGCUUGACAUACACCGGAAAGCAUCAGAGAUGGUGCCCCCCUUGUGGUCGGUGUACAGGUGGUGCAUGGC
rnacentral:rRNA from 1 species